UUGCGGAACAGCCCUCGGUUUCCUCUCUUCUCUCUCCUCCGCGCCUCGUCAGAACCCUCGGGUUCCGACCGACCCGACCCGACUUUUCCGGCGCCGUCGCUCCUCCUCCGGCCACGACCCGGCCCCCUCCGUGAUCGCCGAAAUCCGGCCAGCCGCCUGGUAUCCUUCGAUUGCUCCGCCGCUGCCCCCAGAAGUGGAUCGAAGCCCCCCGAAGCUAAAACUCGACCCGACCGGAAAUCCUGUUUUCCGGCGUCUCCGAGGCCGAUCCUUCCCAUUUUCGUGAUCUCCUCCUCCCCACGAUCAUCCUCAUAUCCUCCUUGCAUGACGAUUUUGAGUGUAGAGCGCUUGAUCAAGGUUUGACUUUUUCGACGGCUGUGGUUCAAUCUGGAAUCUGAUCAGACGGCCGAGAUUAAUCCAACUUCCAAGCAUGAUCUAGGACGAUCUAGACCGAAUCUCGCUUAGCUCCAGGUGAUCGAUGGAUUUAUUUGGCGGACGAUUCGUGAGAUUAUUAAUGGAGCUGUUAAGAAGACGCAGCGGGAUUUGAGCGGAUAAUCCUGCAGGUUAGGAAAAAUCAGGAUGGAGAUCGAGCUGGUUGAGAGUUGCAGCAAUUACCUUCCUUCAUUUUAUUGUGAGUUAUGUCAUGCUCAUUUUGAGCUUUACAAUUUUACUUUGUAAGAGUGAGUUGUAAUAAUGAACUCGAGGUUUCGAGAUUUGGAAUUUGUGUAUCGUGUGGUGAGGUUGUAUAUAUUGAGAAAAAAAUUCAGAACGUGUAAUUGUAUUUAUUAUUAUUCAUGUUUCGGGUUUGAAUUUAUCAUUCAAAAUUCGGGGCG